rnacentral:rRNA from 1 species
GAUGAACGCUGGCGGCGUGCCUAAUACAUGCAAGUCGAGCGAAUGGAUUAAGAGCUUGCUCUUAUGAAGUUAGCGGCGGACGGGUGAGUAACACGUGGGUAACCUGCCCAUAAGACUGGGAUAACUCCGGGAAACCGGGGCUAAUACCGGAUAACAUUUUGAACCGCAUGGUUCGAAAUUGAAAGGCGGCUUCGGCUGUCACUUAUGGAUGGACCCGCGUCGCAUUAGCUAGUUGGUGAGGUAACGGCUCACCAAGGCAACGAUGCGUAGCCGGCCUGCGAGUGUGAUCCGCCACACUGGGACGGAGGAACGGCCCAGGCUCACACGGGAGGCAGCAGUAGGGAAUCUUCCGCAAUGGACGAACGUCUGACGGUGCAACGCCGGGUGAGUGAUGAAGGCUUUCGGGUCGUAACACUCUGUUGUUAGGUAAGAACAAAUGCUAGUUGAAUAAGCUGGCACCUUGACGGUACCUAACCAGAAAGCCACGGCUAACUACGUGCCAGCCGCCGCAGUAA